UCCGGUUUGUCACCGGCAGUCUCCCUAGAGUGCCCAACUAAAUGUAGCAACUAAGGACAAGGGUUGCGCUCGUUGCGGGACUUAACCCAACAUCUCACGACACGAGCUGACGACAGCCAUGCAGCACCUGUGUUCCGAUUCCCUUUCGGGCACCCCCACCUCUCAGCAGGGUCUCGGACAUGUCAAGGGUAGGUAAGGUUUUUCGCGUUGCAUCGAAUUAAUCCACAUCAUCCACCGCUUGUGCGGGUCCCCGUCAAUUCCUUUGAGUUUUAAUCUUGCGACCGUACUCCCCAGGCGGUCAACUUCGCGCGUUAGCUGCGGUACUGAAAGAUCGCUCCUCCAACACCUAGUUGACAUCGUUUAGGGCGUGGACUAC
rnacentral:misc_RNA from 1 species